GAACGGGACGCCAUAGAGGGUGAGAGCCCCGUCCGGUCGUACACCUAGCCUCUGUGAAACUCCUUCGACGAGUCGAGUAGUUUGGGAAUGCUGCUCUAAAUGGGAGGUAUACGUCUUCUAAAGCUAAAUACCGGCCAGAGACCGAUAGCGCACAAGUAGAGUGAUCGAAAGAUGAAAAGCACUUUGAAAAGAGGGUUAAAUAGUACGUGAAAUUGCUGAAAGGGAAGCGCUUAUGACCAGACUUGGGCUCGGUGAAUCAUCCGGCGUUCUCGCCGGUGCACUUUGCCGUCCCAGGCCAGCAUCAGUUCGCGCCGGGGGAUAAAGGUUUCGGGAAUGUAGCUCCCUCGGGAGUGUUAUAGCCCGUUGCGUAAUACCCUGGCGUGGACUGAGGUCCGCGCUCUGCAAGGAUGCUGGCGUAAUGGUCAUCAGUGACCCGUCUUGAAACACGGACCAAGGAGUCGUCUUCGUAUGCGAGUGUUCGGGUGUCAAACCCCUACGCGUAAUGAAAGUGAACGUAGGAGAGAGCUUCGGCGCAUCUCCGACCGAUCCUGAUGUUCUCGGAUGGAUUUGAGUAAGAGCAUACGGGGCCGGACCCGAAAGAAGGUGAACUAUGCCUGUAUAGGGUGAAGCCAGAGGAAACUCUGGUGGAGGCUCGCAGCGGUUCUGACGUGCAAAUCGAUCGUCAAAUAUGGGCAUGGGGGCGAAAGACUAAUCGAACCUUCUAGUAGCUGGUUUCCGCCGAAGUUUCCCUCAGGAUAGCAGUGUUGAACUCAGUUUUAUGAGGUAAAGCGAAUGAUUAGGGACCCGGGGGCGCUUUUUAGCCUUCAUCCAUUCUCAAACUUUAAAUAUGUAAGAAGCCCUUGUUGCUUAGUUGAACGUGGGCAUUCGAAUGUAUCAACACUAGUGGGCCAUUUUUGGUAAGCAGAACUGGCGAUGCGGGAUGAACCGAACGCGAGGUUAAGGUGCCAGAGUAGACGCUCAUCAGACACCACAAAAGGUGUUAGUACAUUUUGACAUUUGGACGGUGGCCAUGGAAGUCGGAAUCCGCUAAGGACUGUGUAACAACUCACCAAACGAAUGUACUAGCCCUGAAAAUGGAUGGCGCUCAAGCGUCUCACCCAUACCUCGCCCUCAGGGUAGAAACGAUGCCCUGAGGAGUAGGCGGAC
rnacentral:rRNA from 1 species